rnacentral:rRNA from 1 species
AUGCUCGACCUGGGCCAUGCUCAUUUUCUGAAUGUGUUCGGCAAAGACGCCCACCACCUACGCAGUUUCAACUGGGAUGAGCUAGACCUCCCCAGCCUUGAUUUGGACGAUCUAGAGAACCCCUUCACCAUCAAGGAGAUUAAAUGCGUCAUCAAUGACAUGCCUUCGGAUAAGGCAUCGGGCCCGGAUGGCUUCUUCGGUGGUUUCUACCGGGCCUGUUGGGAGACUAUCAAGUUUGACAUGCAUGCCGCCCUUGAGCAACUUUACCAUAUGGACCGGCGCGGUCUAGCCCGCAUGAAUUCUUCUCUGAUUGUGUUGAUCCCAAACAAACAUUGCGUGGAUGCUCUUGGAGAUUUUAGGCCCAUCUCGUUGAUGCACAGUUUGAUACAUAUCUUUGUGAAGGUCCUCGUGAUGAUAUUGGUCCCUAACCUGGAGGGAAUGAUUAAUCAGUGCCAGAGUGCAUUUAUCAAGCGCAGAAGCAUCCAUGAGAAUUUCAUUCAUGUCAAAACACGACACGUUUUUUCACAACUCCAAGAAGACUUCGUUCCUUUUGAAGCUUGA